rnacentral:rRNA from 1 species
GGAUGCGAUCAUACAAGCACUAAAGCACUGGAUCCCAUCAGAACUCCGAAGUUAAGCGUGCUUGGGCGAGAGUAGUACUAGGAUGGGUGACCUCCUGGGAAGUCCUCGUGUUGCAUUCC